GAUGAACGCUGGCGGCGUGCCUAAUACAUGCAAGUCGAGCGAACAGACGAGGAGCUUGCUCCUCUGACGUUAGCGGCGGACGGGUGAGUAACACGUGGAUAACCUACCUAUAAGACUGGGAUAACUUCGGGAAACCGGAGCUAAUAUCGGAUAAUAUAUUGAACCGCAUGGUUCAUUAGUGAAAGACGGUUUUGCUGUCCCUUAUAGAUGGAUCCGCGCCGCAUUAGUUAGUUGGUAAGGUAACGGCUGACCAAGGCGACGAUGCGUAGCUGACCUGAUAGGGUGAUCAGCCAAACGGGAAAUGAGACACGGUCCAGACUCCUACGGGAGGGAGCAGUGGGGAAUAUUGGCCAAAGGGCGAAAGCCUGACCGAGCCAUGCCGCGUGUGUGAAGAAGGUCUUCGGAUUGUAAAACACUUUUAGUUGGGAGGAAGAAAAGUUAGUUAAAACCUUGCUGUUUUGACGUUAACAAAAGAAAAAGCCCCGGCUAACUUCGUG
rnacentral:rRNA from 1 species